CCAGCUCUAAUAGCGUAUAUUAAUGUUGUUGCAGUUAAAAAGCUCGUAGUUGGAUUUUGGUGUCUGUUAAGCUUGUUGCCUAACGGUAAUACGAGUUUGACGGCACUUCUUUUCUGAACGACUAUGCUGAUCUUAACGGGUGGGCAUAGGAGUCAGAUCGUUUACUUUGAAAAAAUUAGAGUGUUCAAAGCAGGCCAACGCAUUGAAUACAUUAGCAUGGAAUAAUGGAAUAGGACUUUGGUCAUAUUUUGUUGGUUCGAAGACCGAGGUAAUGAUUAAUAGGGAUAGUUGGGGGCGUUUAUAUUCCGUUGUCAGAGGUGAAAUUCUUGGAUUUACGGAAGAUAAACUACUGCGAAAGCAUUCGCCAAGGAUGUUUUCA
rnacentral:rRNA from 1 species